rnacentral:rRNA from 1 species
UACAGAGGGGGCAAGCGUUAUUCGGAAUUAUUGGGCGUAAAGGGCGCGUAGGCGGGCUGCCGCGUCCGGGGUGAAAUCCCACGGCUCAACCGUGGAACUGCCUCGGAUACGGGCGGUCUCGAGGGGGGUAGGGGCACGCGGAACUGUGGGUGGAGCGGUGAAAUGCGUUGAUAUCCACAGGAACUCCGGUGGCGAAGGCGGCGUGCUGGACCCCAUCUGACGCUGAGGCGCGAAAGCCAGGGGAGCAAACGGG